CUUCAGGUGCACCGAAGCCAAAAUGGACCUGCGGUGACCCCGGCAGCUUCCUCGGGCGUCCCGGUGGACCAAAGGCAGGGCGACAGCGAAUACCACUUCUCGUGGCGCCAUGACGGCCGCAAGACCUACACGUGGGAUCGCGCCAACCAGUACUGCGCCAACCUCGGCUCCGGCUGGCAGGGCAUCAGCAUCGGGACUCACCAGGAGGACAGUCUCGUCAGGGAAGCGAUUAUAGAGGAUCGCCUACCAUGGAUUUGGACCUCAGGUCAUAUCAAGAACCACGGCUUCGCCUGGGCUUCAGGUGAAGAAUUCGCGGGUCUGAACUGGUCUCACACCGGCGGGAAUCAUCGACCACAACCAGACAACCGAGAGGGGAACGAGCACUGCCUGGGGGUUCUCAACGACUUCUACGACGACGGCGUCAAGUGGCACGACAUCGCUUGCCACCACGACAAGGCCAUCAUCUGCGAGCGCAAAGUCCCAGUUCACGGAUGAACACAGAUACACACAGACAGACACAGAUAUACACACGUGUAAAGUAUAUGUAUAUUAUAUACAGACAUAUGAUAAGCCCAAUAAAAACUUAUUUAUAAACACUGUAUGAAUCUAA